AGGAAAUGUCUUCCUUGCUCUUGACUCCACUCUAUGCCUCUUCUAGCUGUAAAUUCCAUCAAAUAACUGUGUAUGUCUAAUUUUUAGGCCCAAUCCCUGAACUUUUCACUUUAUAGCAUUCUCUUCCAGCUGUGACAACACAGUCAAUCGUCCCCUCAUUCCCUUCAUAUGUUACCAGUUAUUGCAAUUAUACCAUGAAUUCUCUCUGCCAUCAUCUCCAAAUUCUCCCUGCUACAACUUGUCUCAUGCCUCCAAUUUAACCUUUAGAUUGUAAGCUCAUGCACUAUCCAGCAAAUAAAUCUUUAUAAAAGAUCUUCAGAGCCUACAACGCUCACAGGCAGGGCCCUCUUUACCAUUUGUAAAAGUCUGUAUAUGUUGCACUUUUUUUUUCCAAUUGUACAGUGCUGUGUAGUAUGUUGGUGCUUUAUAAUUGCCAGUAAUACAUAAUACAAU